GAUGAAGAACGUAGCGAAAUGCGAUAAGUAGUGUGAAUUGCAGAAUUCAGUGAAUCAUCGAAUCUUUGAACGCACAUUGCGGCCAUAGGUAUUCCUUUGGCCAUGCCUGUUCGAGCGUCAUUUACACCCUCAAGCCUAGCUUGGUGUUGGGCGUCUGUCCCGCCGUUCUCGCGCGCGGACUCGCCUCAAAGUCAUUGGCGGCGGUCGUGCCGGCCCCCUCGCGCAGCACAUUUGCGCUUCUCGGAGGCCCGGCGGAUCCGCGCUCCAGCAAGACCUUUCACGACUUGACCUCGGAUCAGGUAGGGAUACCCGCUGAACUUAAGCAUAUCAAUAGCGGAGGA
rnacentral:misc_RNA from 1 species